AGAGUUUGAUCAUGGCUCAGGAUGAACGCUAGCGAUAGGCUUAACACAUGCAAGUCGAGGGGCAGCAUAAAGGUAGCAAUACUUUGGUGGCGACCGGCGCACGGGUGAGUAACACGUAUGCAACCUACCCAUAACUGGGGGAUAGCUCGGAGAAAUCCGGAUUAAUACCCCAUAACACAGGGAUACCACCUGGUAUUAUUUGUUAAAGAUUUAUUGGUUAUGGAUGGGCCUGCGUUCCAUUAGCUAGUUGGUAAGGUAACGGCUUACCAAGGCGACGAUGGAUAGGGGAACUGAGAGGUUUGUCCCCCACACUGGUACUGAGACACGGACCAGACUCCUACGGGAGGCAGCAGUGAGGAAUAUUGGUCAAUGGGCGAGAGCCUGAACCAGCCAAAUCGCGUGAAGGACGACGGUAUUAUGUAUUGUAAACUUCUUUUGAGAGGGAAUAAAGUGAGGGACGUGUCCCUUUUUGUAUGUACCUUUCGAAUAAGCAUCGGCUAACUCCGUGCCAGCAGCCGCGGUAAUACGGAGGAUGCGAGCGUUAUCCGGAUUUAUUGGGUUUAAAGGGUGCGUAGGUUGUUUUAUAAGUCAGCGGUGAAAUCGUUGGGCUCAACCCAACAAUUGCCGUUGAAACUGUAAAACUUGAGAGUGGACGAGGUAGGCGGAAUUCGUGGUGUAGCGGUGAAAUGCAUAGAUAUCACGAAGAACUCCGAUAGCGCAGCAGCUUACCAGGCCACAUCUGACACUGAUGCACGAAAGUGUGGGUAUCAAACAGGAUUAGAUACCCUGGUAGUCCACACAGUAAACGAUGAAUACUAACUGUUUGCGAUAUACAGUAAGCGGUCAAGCGAAAGCGUUAAGUAUUCCACCUGGGGAGUACGCCGGCAACGGUGAAACUCAAAGGAAUUGACGGGGGCCCGCACAAGCGGAGGAACAUGUGGUUUAAUUCGAUGAAUACGCGAGGAACCUUACCCGGGCUC
rnacentral:rRNA from 1 species